rnacentral:rRNA from 1 species
AAGUAAAAGUCGUAACAAGGUUUCCGUAGGUGAACCUGCGGAAGGAUCAUUAUCGUACAAUGGAGGUGCUGGGGUUGUCGCUGACUUUUGAAAGGGUCGUGCACACCUCGGUGCUCUCGCACAUAAUCCAUCUCACCCCUUUUGUGCAUCACCGCGUGGGGACCCCUUUUGGCUAGUUCUGAGGGGGGUUUUCACGUUUUUACACAGACACCCUUUUAAUGCAAUGUGGAGAAUUUGGCAUUCCGAGGGGCACACCCGUUUGAGUGUCGUGACAUCCUCAAAACCUUCUUGGUUUCUUGACCGGGAAGGCUUUUGGACUUUGGAGGCUUUUGCUGGCCUUCCUUUGUUGGAGCCAGCUCCUCUGAAAUGAAUUAGUGGGGUCUGCUUUGCCGAUCCUUGACGUGAUAAGAUGUUUUCUACGUCUUGGGUUUCGCACUGUUCGAUCUGGAUCCUGCUUCUAACUGUCUCAUAGAAGACAAUGGUCAAGUGAUUGCCACUUGACCCACAAACCUUGACCUCAAAUCGGGUGAGACUACCCGCUGAACUUAAGCAUAUCAAUAAGCGGAGGAA